rnacentral:rRNA from 1 species
UACGAAGGGUGCAAGCGUUAAUCGGAAUUACUGGGCGUAAAGCGCGCGUAGGUGGUUCAGCAAGUUGGGUGUGAAAUCCCCGGGCUCAACUCGGGAACUGCGCCCAAAACCAUUAAGCUUGAGUACCAGAUGGGUACGUGGAAUUCCCAGUGUAGCAGUGAAAUGCGUAGAUAUUGGGAGGAACACCGGUGGUGAAGACGACGUACUGGAUGGUCACUGACGCUGAGAGGCGAAAGCGUGGGUAGCAAACAGGAUUAGAUACCCCAGUAGU